CCUAACACAUGCAAGUCGAGCGGUAGCACAGAGAGCUUGCUCUCGGGUGACGAGCGGCGGACGGGUGAGUAAUGUCUGGGAAACUGCCUGAUGGAGGGGGAUAACUACUGGAAACGGUAGCUAAUACCGCAUAAUGUCGCAAGACCAAAGUGGGGGACCUUCGGGCCUCAUGCCAUCAGAUGUGCCCAGAUGGGAUUAGCUAGUAGGUGGGGUAACGGCUCACCUAGGCGACGAUCCCUAGCUGGUCUGAGAGGAUGACCAGCCACACUGGAACUGAGACACGGUCCAGACUCCUACGGGAGGCAGCAGUGGGGAAUAUUGCACAAUGGGCGCAAGCCUGAUGCAGCCAUGCCGCGUGUGUGAAGAAGGCCUUCGGGUUGUAAAGCACUUUCAGCGGGGAGGAAGGCGUUGAGGUUAAUAACCUUGUCGAUUGACGUUACCCGCAGAAGAAGCACCGGCUAACUCCGUGCCAGCAGCCGCGGUAAUACGGAGGGUGCAAGCGUUAAUCGGAAUUACUGGGCGUAAAGCGCACGCAGGCGGUCUGUCAAGUCGGAUGUGAAAUCCCCGGGCUCAACCUGGGAACUGCAUUCGAAACUGGCAGGCUAGAGUCUUGUAGAGGGGGGUAGAAUUCCAGGUGUAGCGGUGAAAUGCGUAGAGAUCUGGAGGAAUACCGGUGGCGAAGGCGGCCCCCUGGACAAAGACUGACGCUCAGGUGCGAAAGCGUGGGGAGCAAACAGGAUUAGAUACCCUGGUAGUCCACGCCGUAAACGAUGUCGAUUUGGAGGUUGUGCCCUUGAGGCGUGGCUUCCGGAGCUAACGCGUUAAAUCGACCGCCUGGGGAGUACGGCCGCAAGGUUAAAACUCAAAUGAAUUGACGGGGGCCCGCACAAGCGGUGGAGCAUGUGGUUUAAUUCGAUGCAACGCGAAGAACCUUACCUGGUCUUGACAUCCACAGAACUUAGCAGAGAUGGUUUGGUGCCUUCGGGAACUGUGAGACAGGUGCUGCAUGGCUGUCGUCAGCUCGUGUUGUGAAAUGUUGGGUUAAGUCCCGCAACGAGCGCAACCCUUAUCCUUUGUUGCCAGCGGUCCGGCCGGGAACUCAAAGGAGACUGCCAGUGAUAAACUGGAGGAAGGUGGGGAUGACGUCAAGUCAUCAUGGCCCUUACGACCAGGGCUACACACGUGCUACAAUGGCAUAUACAAAGAGAAGCGACCUCGCGAGAGCAAGCGGACCUCAUAAAGUAUGUCGUAGUCCGGAUUGGAGUCUGCAACUCGACUCCAUGAAGUCGGAAUCGCUAGUAAUCGUAGAUCAGAAUGCUACGGUGAAUACGUUCCCGGGCCUUGUACACACCGCCCGUCACACCAUGGGAGUGGGUUGCAAAAGAAGUAGGUAGCUUAACCUUCGGGAGGGCGCUUACCACUUU
rnacentral:rRNA from 1 species